rnacentral:rRNA from 1 species
AAUCCAUAGGUUAAUGAGGCGAACCGGGGGAACUGAAACAUCUAAGUACCCCGAGGAAAAGAAAUCAACCGAGAUUCCCCCAGUAGCGGCGAGCGAACGGGGAGGAGCCCAGAGCCUGAAUCAGCAUGUGUGUUAGUGGAAGCGUCUGGAAAGGCGCGCGAUACAGGGUGACAGCCCCGUACACAAAAGCGCAUGUGUUGUGAGCUCGAUGAGUAGGGCGGGACACGUGGUAUCCUGUCUGAAUAUGGGGGGACCAUCCUCCAAGGCUAAAUACUCCUGACUGACCGAUAGUGAACCAGUACCGUGAGGGAAAGGCGAAAAGAACCCCGGCGAGGGGAGUGAAAAAGAACCUGAAACCGUGUACGUACAAGCAGUGGGAGCACAGGUUUACCUGUGUGACUGCGUACCUUUUGUAUAAUGGGUCAGCGACUUAUAUUCUGUAGCAAGGUUAACCGAAUAGGGGAGCCGGAGGGAAACCGAGUCUUAAU